rnacentral:rRNA from 1 species
GACGAACGCUGGCGGCGUGCUUAACACAUGCAAGUCGAACGGGCCUGUCUUCUUUUUUGGGGGGUGGGUUGAGUGGCGAACGGGUGAGUAUCACGUGAGUAACCUGCCCUUCGGUCCUGGAUAACCGCUUGAAAGGGCGGCUAAUACGGGGUGGUCCGGUUGGUCCGCAUGGGCUGGGCGGGAUAGAUUCACUGUUUUUGGUGUUUCGGCGGGGGAUGGGCUCGCGGCCUAUCAGCUUGUUGGUGGGGUGAUGGCCUACCAAGGCGGUGACGGGUAGCCGGCCUGAGAGGGUGGGCGGCCACACUGGGACUGCGAUACGGCCCAGACUCCUGCGGGAGGCAGCAGUGGGGGGUAUUGCACAAUGGGCGGAAGCCUGAUGCAGCGACGUCGCGUGAGGGAUGGAGGCCUUCGGGUUGUGAACCUCUGUUUCCGGUGGUGAAGGCCCUGUCCGUGUGGUGGGGUUGACGGUAGCCGGGGAUGAAGCGCCGGCUAACUACGUG